rnacentral:rRNA from 1 species
CCUACGGGUGGCAGCAGUGAGGAAUAUUGGUCAAUGGACGCAAUCCUGAACCAGCCAUGCCGCGUGCAGGAAGACGGCCCUAUGAGUUGUAAACUGCUUUUGUCGGAGGGCAAACGCCGGUACGUGUAUCUGUCUGACAGUAUCCUACGAAUAAGGAUCGGCUAACUCCGUGCCAGCAGCCGCGGUAAUACGGAGGAUUCAAGCGUUAUCCGGAUUUAUUGGGUUUAAAGGGUGCGUAGGCGGUCGGGUAAGUUAGAGGUGAAAUACCGGGGCUCAACGUCGGUAGUGCCUCUGAUACUGGUCGGCUAGAGAGUGGGUGAGGUACGCGGAAUGUGUGGUGUAGCGGUGAAAUGCAUAGAGAUCGUGCAGAACACCGAUUGCGAAGGCAGCGUACC